GUCCUGGCUGUAAACGAUGAGCACUUGGUGUGGCGGGUAUCGACCCCUGCCGUGCCGAAGCUAACGCAUUAAGUGCUCCGCCUGGGGAGUACGGCCGCAAGGCUGAAACUCAAAGGAAUUGACGGGGCCCGCACAAGCGGUGGAGCAUGUGGUUCAAUUCGACGCAACGCGAAGAACCUUACCUGGGUUUGAACCGCAGGUGACCGCUCUCGAAAGAGGGCUUUCCCGCAAGGGACACCUGUAGAGGUGCUGCAUGGCUGUCGU
rnacentral:rRNA from 1 species